UCGUCAGCUCGUGUCGUGAGAUGUUGGGUUAAGUCCCGCAACGAGCGCAACCCCUGCUGCCAGUUGCCAACGGGUGAAGCCGGGCACUCUGGCGGGACUGCCAUCGACAAGAUGGAGGAAGGUGGGGGAUGACGUCAAGUCAUCAUGGCCCUUAUGUCCAGGGCGACACACGUGCUACAAUGGCCGGCACAGCGGGAAGCGAGGCAGUGAUGCCAAGCGGAUCCCUUAAAGCCGGUCUCAGUUCGGAUUGAAGUCUGCAACUCGACUUCAUGAAGCUGGAAUCGCUAGUAAUCGCAGAUCAGCCAAGCUGCGGUGAAUACGUUCCCGGGCCUU
rnacentral:rRNA from 1 species